rnacentral:rRNA from 1 species
AGCGAACGCUGGCGGCAGGCUUAACACAUGCAAGUCGAGCGGGCAUAGCAAUAUGUCAGCGGCAGACGGGUGAGUAACGCGUGGGAACGUACCUUUUGGUUCGGAACAACUGAGGGAAACUUCAGCUAAUACCGGAUAAGCCCUUACGGGGAAAGAUUUAUCGCCGAAAGAUCGGCCCGCGUCUGAUUAGCUAGUUGGUGAGGUAAUGGCUCACCAAGGCGACGAACAGUAGCUGGGCUGAGAGGAUGAUCAGCCACAUUGGGACUGAGACACGGCCCAACCUCCUACGGGAGGCAGCAGUGGGGAAUAUUGGACAAUGGGCGCAAGCCUGAUCCAGCCAUGCCGCGUGAGUGAUGAAGGCCCUAGGGUUGUAAAGCUCUUUUGUGCGGGAAGAUAAUGACUGUACCGGAAGAAUAAGCCCCGGCAAACUUCGUGCCAGCCGCCGCCGUAACAC